GAUGAACGCUAGCGGCGUGGAUAAGGCAUGCAAGUCGAACGCUCCAGUUUACUGGGGAGUGGCAAACGGGUGAGUAUAACAUUGGUAACCUACCUCGAAGUUUGGGAUAACAUCCUGAAAAGGAUGCUAAUACCAAAUGGUCUCGCAAGAGUAAAGAUUUAUCGCUUCGAGAAGGGCCGAUGCACUAUCAGCUUGUUGGUGAGGUAACGGCCCACCAAGGCUAUGACGGUUAGGAGGCUCGAGAGGGUAUUCUCCCACAUUGGCACUGAGACACUGGCCAAACUCCUACGGGAGGCUGCAGUCGAGAAUCUUCGUCAAUGCACGAAAGUGUGAACGAGCGACGCCGCGUGAGCGAUGAAGCCCUUCGGGGUGUAAAGCUCUUUUAUUAGGGAAAAACUUUGAUUGUACCUAGUGAAUAAGAGGUUGCUAACUCUGUGCCAGCAGCAGCGGUAAUACAGAGACCUCAAGCGUUAUCCGGAUUUAUUGGGCGUAAAGCGUCUGUAGGUUGUAUAAAUAGUCAGAUGUCAAAUUCCAGGGCUCAACCUUGGAACUGCAUUUGAAACGUUUAUUCUAGAGGACGGUAGGGGCAAGUAGAACUUAUAGUGUAGCAGUAAAAUGCGUUGAUAUUAUAAGGAAUACCAAAAGCGAAGGCAUCUUGCUGGACCGUUCCUGACACUGAGAGACGAAAGCGUGGGUAGCGAAUGGGAUUAGAUACCCCAGUAGUCCACGCCGUAAACGAUGGAUAUUAGGCAUUAGGAGUGUCGACCCUUUUAGUGCCGAAGCUAACGCGUUAAAUAUCCCGCCUGGGAAGUACGGCCGCAAGGCUAAAACUCAAAGGAAUAGACGGGGACCUGCACAAGCGGUGGAACAUGUGGUUUAAUUCGACGAUAAACGAGGAACCUUACCCAGGCUAGAAGCCAUUCGAAUCCCGAUGAAAGUUGGGAGUGCCGCAAGGAGCGAAUGGACAGGUGCUGCAUGGUUGCCGUCAGCUCGUGCCGUGAGGUGUUCGGUUAAGUCCAGCAACGAGCGCAACCCUUGUCGAAUGUUGUAUUUCUCAUUCGAUACUGCCCGAGUUAAUUGGGAGGAAGGUGGGGACGACGUCAAAUCAGCAUGGCCCUAGACGCCUGGGGCUACACACAUGUUACAAUGGCGAUUACAAUGGGCUGCCAAGUCGAAAGACGGAGCUAAUCCCAUCAAAGGUCGCCUCAGUUCGGAUUGAGGGCUGCAACUCGCCCUCAUGAAGCCGGAAUCGCUAGUAAUCGUGAAUCAGCUAUGUCACGGUGAAUACGUUCUCAGGUCUUGUACUCACCGCCCGUCACAUCAAGAGAGUCGGUAAUACCCGAAGCUCCUCCGUUUAAUAGGGGGGACCACGGUAGGAUCGGCAAUAAGGAUG
rnacentral:rRNA from 1 species